AUCACAGGAUAACUAGGAGGAAUGGAAAAAUGAAUGGGAGUGUACAAAGCUCCCUUUUUAGGCCAGCUUAGUUGCCUGCAGCUGUGACCUGGACACUUCUAUUCACUAAUGCUCUCUGGCAACGAGAUAUACUGAUAAACACACACUAAUCACACCCUGGAAGAAAAUAAAGGGGGUGUAAAGGAACCAUGGAUUUAAACCAUCAUCUUGAGUCAUCAUCAAAGGACAGGACAUGGGAAACAAUUAAGGGAGAUUCAAUCAUCCUCGUCUCCUGAGUGUGGUGUAGAAAAUUGAGGCCCAACAGAUGGGGAACCCUACUUGGAUAGACCAACUUCACAGUGAGGGUGUGGUACAAGAGGAGUGUGGUAGGUUUCCUACAGUACACUGAAAACAUACAGAGUAAAUCUGAGUGCAUAAGUUUGUGUUGUAAAUGCAAUAAUACCUUUUCUCUGAUGAAUUAAUGGGAUAGUUUUUUCACCAUCUUCCCCAAGAACAUACAGUAAAUGGGGAAAAAUAGGUUUCUUUUGCUGCUGGUAAGUAUAGCAAAAAAAGCUUGCAAUUUGGCAGCCUAAUGGCCAUUUUCAGCCUGUCGGUUUUUUUUCUUUUAACUCGUAGUGGUUUUUAAAAUGAAAGAAUUUAAAAAUUGGGAAAUUUUACAUAAAAACCCAGAUUUUUGGAAAAAUCAGAUGAUCCAGCACAACUAGGCUUGGAUUCAGCGUGAUGAGGACCUGGCCAUGCGAGGGGCUGCCUGUUUAUGCUGAGAUAUCCGCUCUCUGCCUGACAGCUGUUCCCACCAGGCCCCAGGGUCUUGCAUCUGCCUGCCUUCCACAGUGGCCUCGCCUGUUGGCGUGCAUACAUCCCUGAGUUUGGAACUCACAUUCUGUUGAUCAUUUCUCACUUACUAAUACCCAUGGGCUUCAAAGACUUCAGUAUUUCACACGCCAGCUAGAUAAAAUCUGCCUUUACUUCUAAUUAAUGCAGAUACAAAUACAUGCUGGUUUUGAUAUAAGAAAAUAAUUGAAGAUUACAUUUAAUUUGGAAAUAGCUGAAA